UUUUUAAUAUAAAUAUGUCCCACGCAAUAUUUGGGCUAUAUUUAUACUAAAA
rnacentral:pre_miRNA from 2 species